UACAGAGGUCCCAAGCGUUGUUCGGAUUCACUGGGCGUAAAGGGUGCGUAGGUGGUGGGGUAAGUCGGAUGUGAAAGCUCGGAGCUCAACUCCGAAAUGGCAUUGGAAACUACCCUGCUAGAGGAUUGGAGGGGGGACUGGAAUACUUGGUGUAGCAGUGAAAUGCGUAGAUAUCAAGUGGAACACCAGUGGCGAAGGCGAGUCCCUGGACAAUUCCUGACACUGAGACACGAAGGCCAGGGGAGCAAACGGG
rnacentral:rRNA from 1 species